UACGGGGGUGGCAAGCGUUGUUCGGAAUUACUGGGCGUAAAGGGCGCGUAGGCGGGGAGGUAAGUCGGGUGUGAAAUCCCUCGGCUCAACCGAGGAACUGCGCCCGAGACUGCCUUUCUUGAGUCCCGGAGAGGAAGGUGGAAUUCCCGGUGUAGCGGUGAAAUGUGUAGAGAUCGGGAGGAACACCGGUGGCGAAGGCGGUUCUCUGGGCAUGAUCUGACGCUGAGGAGCGAAAGUGUGGGGAGCGAACAGG
rnacentral:rRNA from 1 species